rnacentral:lncRNA from 1 species
UGGACUUCGAGGCAAAUUUAUGCAAAGGAAAAAUGAAAAAAAAAAUUAAUACUCAUUCAACCAAUCACACUGAGAUAUAGAAUAAUUCACAAAUUUGGAAGCGAAACACAUACUAACCAAGGAUAUUCUUUAAUUAAAAGGAUAUGAGUCAAUAUUAAUUUGAAAUUGGCUACUCUAACUAGCUAUUAAACACUUAAAACAAUUAAUGAAAACAGAAAGACAUGCAUAACUUGGGAUUUGCUCCCACUCAAAGCAUUCUUUUAAAAUAGCAAAUCAGAGAGUCAAAAUCUUUUCAUUGUGGUUCAAAGAGUUGUAAUUUGUCAGAACAUAAUCCCUGUUUGGAGUUAUUUUCAAACGACCCAAUUCAUUCAAUCAUCAAGGAGGCUAAACUAGUUAUCAAGGCCUAUUAUUUACACUAGGAGAUUAGGUGUCCUUUUUAAAGAACUCAAACGAAAUAGGGAACUAACCGAACAAACAAAAUGACUAAAGGGAAAAUGUCAUAAGAAUGUAACCAUGGUUUGUUUGAUAAAAUUAGAAAGACCCGCAACAUACUAUUAAGGCUCAUUAUCCACACAAUGAUUCAACCUCCAACUUAACCAUUUUUUUUAAAAAAAGAAGGAAGACAUGGAGGAAAAUAGGGGAAAGAUUAAACUGGGAAUACAUAAAACAGAUAAAGAAAACAAUCUGGAAAUGGCAACAAUUUGAAUGAAAUCAAAACAGAAAACAAAAUUCCCAAUGAUGUAUUCCACCUAAACAAAGCACGUGAAUAUCAACACUUCUCCUUACUCUAUAGUAUCUUAAAUAAGAACAUGAUCAACAAGCAAAAAUCAUAAGUAUACCACAAUACAGAAUUUCUGUAAAGAAAAUGGUCCGCUAAACUACUCAGCUGGAUGAUAAUCGAUUAGGAAAACAAAAAAAAUAGCAAACCACCAAAUAAGACAAUUAAGCUUUUUGAAAAACAAUGUUCUCAGGGACCUUUACAUCGCUCAUCAUGAAAAAAAUCAAAUUCUAAUUAUUUUUCCAGAAUCUCAUACAAAAGACCAAACUAGUGAAAACGAUUUACAUAGGCUCUCAUUUUUCGGGUGGAAGCAGAAAGUUCAUCAGGGCUUAUCAUGAAUUCUUUUUGCACAAGAGGAAGGGUAAAACAAAAGCACCUACUAUAAUUUUCAAGUAUAAGCGAUCAAGUUUAAAACUAAUGGGCACCUUGCAGUAGAAUCUUGCCCUUUUCUCUAAUGAUUUACAGGAAUAAAAUAAUUCAGUAACCCUUUUUAGAACAGGAUAUUAGCAAAAUUUUUAGGCUAACAGCUCAUCAUAUAACCAAAAUAGCAUACACGAAGCCGAAUUCGAAGGAAAUUUUCAUCAAACAUCAUAUAAACAAGAGGCAAGUGCGUUCCCAGGCAAAUUAUAUAAAAAAAUUAGAAGUUUCGAAAAUCGACGUGUCCUAAAUGCAGAAACAACAAUAAAGUCUAAAAGCUCAAAAUUUAUCAUGUGAAACCUGGGGCUUUCAUAGUCUCCAUAGCGAGCAACUCUCAGCACUCAAGAUUAUAAAAAUACAACUACAAACAAGGUAACAAGAGGAUGAAAAUUGUUAAGUGAGAAUUAAAAUAUGAUCUUUAACCAUGAACCAGUGAUUCAAACAACAGACAAUCCACAAGAUGAUAUAUUAGGUUAAAAAUUAAUCAGUAACGCUGAGAGUAGAUGACCAAUUACGAAAUCGAGAUAUAAAGACGACUAAAACCACAUGUCAUACAAUCAGCACAGGAAUUCAUCCUAACAUAGCACUACAACCAACAUUGUCUUUCACUAAAAUGGCCACCUAUGGUCUUGAAAACCUCUACAGCAGACAACCCAGCAUACAAGAUCUUUGGAAUAACACUUAUGACUAUAGAAUAAAGAGAUGGAGUAGAAUACAAUCGAAAUUAAAUAAAAACAGAAUGUUACCUAUUCAUGAGAUGCAAAAUAGAACCUUGAGCUAACGUCGGACUCACAACCACUGGAAAAUAUCUUUACCGUUAACUCGAAUUUCUAAUUUAGCCGACGAACUUGCGGAAAAGCAAAAUUUCUACUAAAGAUUGAAUUUUCUCUGAGAGUUUCUUUUUUUUUCUUUUUCUCCCUUAGUUUUUUCUGAACCAAAAUCUCUAACCCCUAACCAGCUUCAUCGUGGGCUCUUAUAUCGAGGACCCCUCGAUUAAGACCGAAUUUUGAGGGUUAAAAAUGGGAUAUUUUUGAAAUUUAAAAUUCCCAUCCCCUUCCGCGGUUUUCAUCCCUAAAUUUGUACCAAUUUUUGGAUUUUCCUUGGAUAAUCCAUUUGGACUUCGAGGGAAAUUUAUGCAAAGGAAAAAUGAAAAAAAAAAUUAAUACUCAUUCAACCAAUCACACUGAGAUAUAGAAUAAUUCACAAAUUUGGAAGCGAAACACAUACUAACCAAGGAUAUUCUUUAAUUAAAAGGAUAUGAGUCAAUAUUAAUUUGAAAUUGGCUACUCUAACUAGCUAUUAAACACUUAAAACAAUUAAUGAAAACAGAAAGACAUGCAUAACUUGGGAUUUGCUCCCACUCAAAGCAUUCUUUUAAAAUAGCAAAUCAGAGAGUCAAAAUCUUUUCAUUGUGGUUCAAAGAGUUGUAAUUUGUCAGAACAUAAUCCCUGUUUGGAGUUAUUUUCAAACGACCCAAUUCAUUCAAUCAUCAAGGAGGCUAAACUAGUUAUCAAGGCCUAUUAUUUACACUAGGAGAUUAGGUGUCCUUUUUAAAGAACUCAAACGAAAUAGGGAACUAACCGAACAAACAAAAUGACUAAAGGGAAAAUGUCAUAAGAAUGUAACCAUGGUUUGUUUGAUAAAAUUAGAAAGACCCGCAACAUACUAUUAAGGCUCAUUAUCCACACAAUGAUUCAACCUCCAACUUAACCAUUUUUUUUAAAAAAAGAAGGAAGACAUGGAGGAAAAUAGGGGAAAGAUUAAACUGGGAAUACAUAAAACAGAUAAAGAAAACAAUCUGGAAAUGGCAACAAUUUGAAUGAAAUCAAAACAGAAAACAAAAUUCCCAAUGAUGUAUUCCACCUAAACAAAGCACGUGAAUAUCAACACUUCUCCUUACUCUAUAGUAUCUUAAAUAAGAACAUGAUCAACAAGCAAAAAUCAUAAGUAUACCACAAUACAGAAUUUCUGUAAAGAAAAUGGUCCGCUAAACUACUCAGCUGGAUGAUAAUCGAUUAGGAAAACAAAAAAAAUAGCAAACCACCAAAUAAGACAAUUAAGCUUUUUGAAAAACAAUGUUCUCAGGGACCUUUACAUCGCUCAUCAUGAAAAAAAUCAAAUUCUAAUUAUUUUUCCAGAAUCUCAUACAAAAGACCAAACUAGUGAAAACGAUUUACAUAGGCUCUCAUUUUUCGGGUGGAAGCAGAAAGUUCAUCAGGGCUUAUCAUGAAUUCUUUUUGCACAAGAGGAAGGGUAAAACAAAAGCACCUACUAUAAUUUUCAAGUAUAAGCGAUCAAGUUUAAAACUAAUGGGCACCUUGCAGUAGAAUCUUGCCCUUUUCUCUAAUGAUUUACAGGAAUAAAAUAAUUCAGUAACCCUUUUUAGAACAGGAUAUUAGCAAAAUUUUUAGGCUAACAGCUCAUCAUAUAACCAAAAUAGCAUACACGAAGCCGAAUUCGAAGGAAAUUUUCAUCAAACAUCAUAUAAACAAGAGGCAAGUGCGUUCCCAGGCAAAUUAUAUAAAAAAAUUAGAAGUUUCGAAAAUCGACGUGUCCUAAAUGCAGAAACAACAAUAAAGUCUAAAAGCUCAAAAUUUAUCAUGUGAAACCUGGGGCUUUCAUAGUCUCCAUAGCGAGCAACUCUCAGCACUCAAGAUUAUAAAAAUACAACUACAAACAAGGUAACAAGAGGAUGAAAAUUGUUAAGUGAGAAUUAAAAUAUGAUCUUUAACCAUGAACCAGUGAUUCAAACAACAGACAAUCCACAAGAUGAUAUAUUAGGUUAAAAAUUAAUCAGUAACGCUGAGAGUAGAUGACCAAUUACGAAAUCGAGAUAUAAAGACGACUAAAACCACAUGUCAUACAAUCAGCACAGGAAUUCAUCCUAACAUAGCACUACAACCAACAUUGUCUUUCACUAAAAUGGCCACCUAUGGUCUUGAAAACCUCUACAGCAGACAACCCAGCAUACAAGAUCUUUGGAAUAACACUUAUGACUAUAGAAUAAAGAGAUGGAGUAGAAUACAAUCGAAAUUAAAUAAAAACAGAAUGUUACCUAUUCAUGAGAUGCAAAAUAGAACCUUGAGCUAACGUCGGACUCACAACCACUGGAAAAUAUCUUUACCGUUAACUCGAAUUUCUAAUUUAGCCGACGAACUUGCGGAAAAGCAAAAUUUCUACUAAAGAUUGAAUUUUCUCUGAGAGUUUCUUUUUUUUUCUUUUUCUCCCUUAGUUUUUUCUGAACCAAAAUCUCUAACCCCUAACCAGCUUCAUCGUGGGCUCUUAUAUCGAGGACCCCUCGAUUAAGACCGAAUUUUGAGGGUUAAAAAUGGGAUAUUUUUGAAAUUUAAAAUUCCCAUCCCCUUCCGCGGUUUUCAUCCCUAAAUUUGUACCAAUUUUUGGAUUUUCCUUGGAUAAUUUGGGAUGGGUGGACCAACCAAAAUUGGGGAAAAUCGAAUUCUUUCUCCAACUAAUAAAAAUUACGCAAAUAUGUACUAAAUCAUACCAUUAUCCCGAGAUUUAUGGGUUAACCAUUGGGGGAUUACACCUAGGCUCAUUCUAGAACUUUCUCAAGUCUUCUUCAUACGAAUUCGCGUAGGAUGAGUGAAGAAGGCUACAAAUGGGUUGGUUGUGGGUCACUGCUGGUUUAGAUCAGUUGGAUUUUUGGAAUCUUGGGUCGGGUUUUGAUAUUGGUUGCUGGGUUGUUGUCGUGAUUUAGCAGAUAUAUAUAUCUUUUGUUUUGUUAUUGAUAUCAUUGUUUUGAAAGGGGAAGAAGGGGUAUUAGAACGGGCCGAGUUAGAUAAUUUAUUUGGGCUUCUGUUUGUCAGGUCUUUGCUUGCUGAUAAGAUUAGUUGUUGUUUGCUAUAAUUUAAUUAGGGGGAAAGAGGAAAGAGUUGGGCCAAAUAGGUCAGGCAAAGUGUAAUGUGCUGGUGAUUUGGGGCUGAAAUUGUGGCUGAGUAGAGGAAAGAAAGGUUUUGGGCUGCUAGGGAUUAUCUUUUGGGCCCGAAAUCGAGUUUAAAUUUUGGGGGUUAUUUAAAACGUAACCCUCCAAUUAAAAAUUUAGAACUUAGUCAUAUUUAAAUAGUAAUUUGAUUAAAUUAAAUUUAAAUUAGUUCAUUGUAUUGUAAAUGUGACCAAUUUGAUUUCACUUGUGGUCUAAUUUAAUAAAUCAACUAAAUUAAAUAGAAAUUCGGUAUGAAUUAACACUUUAUUUAAUCCCGAUCUUUUCAACUUAAUAAAAAUUCAACAAAUAUGUUUCCAAAUAAAUUAUUCUUAAGAACAAAUUACAUUUAAAUCAAGAUUUUAAUCAUUUGAAUUUAUUUUCAAGAUAAGCCUUGGUUAAAGCCCAAUAUUUUGUAAAAUAAAUAUUUAAGUAACAAAAUUAUAAAAUUUUUGUAUAAUUGAAUACGAAAAUAUAUAAUUACUACUUAAAAUGACAAAUUUACCCAAAAAUUCUUUGAAAAGCUUUUAAUUCAGAUAAAAUAAAUGUUGUAAUUUUAUUCAAAAAUUGAAGAAACUCAAACAUAAACUUUGUUGUGGAGGGCAAAAAUUAGGUGUCAACAACUAUCCCCUCCCUUUAGGUAGGGUGGAUGCAAGUAACCCUGGACAAAGGGAGGUUGAUGUUCUUAAUUUUUGUCCGGCCACAGAUUCAAAUUUGAAAGAAAUUGGCUUUCGCACGAGUUUCAUAGAGUUAUGGCCAGACCUUGGUAUCAGAUUUCCUACAUAUCUCAGGUUACAUGAGAAUUCAGCUCGCUUGUAGUUCAUAAAGCUUGAUUCAAAGCAUGAUUUUAAAAAAAUUCAUCAGCUAUCUCGAUUUUUGGAGUUUUUGAAAGAAUUGAAAAGCUGGGAAAUAGAGUGAUUUAGGGGAGGUUGGAAUGCAUUUGAGUUUUCUACAUAGAGCCUAGCCUACAUAUCCCCAAGACUCAGGGAAUCAGACUACUUGUAGUUUGACUCAAUCGGUAGAAAAGGCGGUCUUUUAUUUUAGACGACCUUUGGCUCGGGAUGAGUGAUGAGUUGAUCGAGUUGUGGAAAAAAAAGGAUUGUAACCUCUUAACCAUGAACGUGGAGCUCUUCACAUCCAUAGGUAAGAAUUUACCUGGACAUAAUUUCCAAAACUCUAGGUAUGUUGUCACCCAAAUUUGAAAGAAAGAGAAGUUUACCCUCUGUAUGAGUUUAGAAAUAUACCGAAGGUGAAGUUGAAACCAAAAUAUCCCAAAUAACCCACAUGCCUUCUAACAGGGGUGUGGUUGGAUAGUGGUGGCGAUCAUCUUUUAGCUCUCGUCCAAAGAAUUUGAUGUCCAUCAUUAGACUAUGUCCCGUUUUGCUGCUAAGAAAGAGUUUCAUGUUAUGCUACAUCCUAUCUGGAUUUGUCCGUACCUGUGGUUUUAAUUUGAGAUUUUCAUCCUCUUGGAUGCUCUCGACAAUGUUUCAAACAAAAGUGUUAGUAUAAAACAUAAUUCACGAAAGAGGUAUGUAGUCUUUAACCAUAUCUGCGCAUGGAUUGUCACUUGAGAAGCAAAGUCAUCCUUUCGUGUACCUGUUUGGAAGGAAAUAACUUGCAACAACAGAGAUAGCAACCCUCGUAGUUUUUGUAUAAUUAUCUCAUUUGUCAGUUGAAUAUGUCUUUAAAGUGGGGUAGCCCUUUUGAACGUCGAUGAUACUUUAUGUAGAACGGUCUCUGCAUUCGUGUAAUCUCAUGUUGAUGCGGUAACCCUUUGGUCACCUACAAUGCUUUUGGAAUGAUAAGCUUUCUGGUUAUUGAUGAUAGUUCUUUGCAUAUGAUCUCAGGUAAGUCUUGCGCAUAUUUUGUAUCGAUACGACUUAUAGAUUUCCCUCAAAUUAUCAAUCUGUGGAUAAUCUUGUGUAUUAUUUGAUGUUGGAUACGAGGCAACUUAUAGAUAUCCUUUAAAUUGCUAGACCUUAUGUAAUCCCAAACAUUAUCUGACCUUGGAUAAGAGACGGCUUACAGAUAUCCCUCCAAUUGCUAGUCUUGAGGUAUUCUUACACAUCAUCCGACCUUGGAUACAAUAUGGCUUAUAGAUAUCUCUUAAAUUGGUAGUCUUUGGGUAAUCCUUCACAUAAUCGAUCUUGGAUAUAACGUGGCUUAUAGAGAACCCAUGGAUUUAUCAAUUUGAUAAUCUCACAUAUUCUCCGAUAAGGAUUUAGUUGUGACUUAUGGAUAACCUUCAAACUAUUAAUUUUUGGGUAACCUUGCAUACUAUCAGGUUAGGAUGUUGUUGCAACUUAUGGAUGACCUAUGGGCUAUCAACUCAAAGUUAAUCUUACACACUAUCCUAUUUCAAAUAAUAUGACUUAUAGAUGAUCCUCAAAUUAUCAAUUUCAAGGAAAUCUCAUAUGUCGUUCGCUUUUAGAUAGCGACUUGAAGACAUCCUUUUGAAUCAUGUGCUUUUAUGUAUUCAGGUGCUGAUUCAUAACAUGAUUUGAUAUUCUCAAUGUCAGCAUAUGCUAUCUCACAUAUUAAUAGAUUUUAAAUGCUGAUGAUAUCCUCGAGCUAGAGUAUGAUAUCUCAUGUGUUAUCAGAUAUUUAAUGCAAAUAAUACCCUUGAUGCCAGCAUAUGGUAUCUCAUACGUCAUCAAAUAUUUAAUAUAGAUGGUACCCUCGACGCCAUCAUAUGAUAUCUUGCGCGUCAUCAGAUAUUUAAUGUAGAUGGUACCCUCGACGUCAGCGUAUGAUAUCUCACACGUCAUCAGAUAUUUAAUACAGAUGAUACCCUCGACGCCAGCAUAUGAUAUCUCGCACGUCAUCAGAUAUUUAAUGCAGAUGAUACCCUCGAUGCCAGCGUAUGAUAUCUCACGCGUCAUAAGAUAUUUAAUACAGAUGAUACCAUCUAUGCCAGUAUAUGAUAUCUCAUGCAUCAUCAGAUAGUUAAUGUAAAUAAUACCCUAGAUGCUAGUGUAUGAUAUCUCGUGCAUCUUUAGAUAUUUAAUGUAGAUGAUAUCCUCAACACCAACAUAUGAUAUCUUAAGUAUCAAUAGAUUUUAGAUAAUGAUGAUAUCCUCGACACUAGCAUAUGAUAUCUCGCGUGUCAACAUAUAUCAGAUGAUGAUAUCCUCGAUGCCAUUAUAUGAUAUCUCACGUGUCAACAGAUAUUAAUGAUGAUAUCCUCGAUGCCAGCGUAUGAUAUCUCGCAUAUAAACAAAUAUUAGAUGAUGAUAUCCUCAAUGCCAGUGUAUAAAUCUCACGUGUCAAUAGAUAUUGAUACAAUGUCCCUCUCAGCAAUGAGAUGGUAUGAAAUGGUUCUUCCGGUGAUUUGAAAAUAGUUUCACCUGAGUUCGUUUGUCUGCGUCUUGCUUUCUACAUAUACCUGUACUCAUGGUAGACAAUUAGUAGACAGAAUGUCGCACUCACUGGCGACUAAAGUCAAACUUUAUGAUAGUUUAAUGACAAAUACUGAGCAUCAUAAUUUGAAUGUCUUAUUCUUCUAUUAAUCUUCUCUUUUUGAAGAAAUGAUUAAAUAGAAAAUCCACCGGAUGCAAGUGAAUGGCCAAAACCCUUGUUUGUGGAUUACUCAAAUACCGUUGCUUCGCUUCAAGAAAAAUUUUGAGGAUAACUUUCCUCCUAUUGAGUGAUCCUUUGAUUGUUGUAUUUAUUGUGCCAACUCCCUUGAAUGUUCCUGUGCUCAAUGUGAAUAUUUAGUAGGCACAAAGUCGCUUUUGCUAGCGACUAUUUUUUAGAAAAAUUCUAAAUACAAUAUUCAUAAAGAAGAUAAGACGCCUUUGUUUGCCCUUCAUGAUCUCAAGAAAUGAGAUAGACAAUUCAAAAGGUCUUCUAUAAAUGGGUAUUAAACCCAUUUUUGGGUUUACCUCAAAAUAUCAUUCUUGAGCAUUUUAUGCUCUGGUAUGGCUCCCAACUUGCUUGGGGAUUUUUGAAAGAGACUUUUAUUUUUGUAUAUUGAUCCCUGCAUCCACAAAAAAAUGAUUAGUUUGAGUGAAACUACUCCAUGUUGACCUCCUUCACUCCUCGCCAUCUUUCAGGUGUUCCGUCAUGUUGGUACCCCCACUCCAGCUCGUUGCUCCAAUAGACGUCUAGGCAAUCACUAAGUAAAAGAUUUGUAUAGAUUUUUGAAAAUAGACUUAAUUUUAGAAGAUAGUUUCGAAAGUUUCUAAAAAAGCUUUAGAAAAUCUUUGCCUGCCAUGUCAUGUACUAGCUCAACAAAAGUCCUUCUCUUGGUUUUGACUAUAUCCAGUGUAGGAUUUCCAAAACUCAUCAUCAUUAUUGGAGGGUUCUUCAAAUAGUUCGGUCAUAGCUAGAAAUUGAGUCUUCCUAGGCUUUAUCAUAGCUGGUGACUUCAAAAGUUUGACUUUGACCUCUUGUGCUGGGAAAUUUGAAAUAUAUUCCAGCGUUUGGUGGAAAUUUUGAGGCCUUCCUCAAAAUUUCUGUCCUAAUUUAAAGUUGUUUGAUAUGAUAUCAACUUGAGAGGAUCUAAAGUCUUUGUUGGUUCUUGCUCUCUUUGUUGCAUGAAGGUCUUCAUCAUCAUGAAUUUUUGAGAUUCUUUUUAAAAAAUUUUGCCCCAGUUUCCAUUUCCCGGAGUUAUAUGACUGAGCCAUUGGGGAGCCUACGUAUCCCGUUGAAUAAGGAAUUAGGUCAAACAUAGUUUAGGACUAUGUUAAGGAUAUAUAGAAAAAUCCAAUGGGUUGACUUAAGCUGACAUAGGCCGCCUACGUAUUCCUUUAUUGGGAAUUCAGGUCAAACAUAGUUUGUACAUGAAAGGAAAUGAUAAAUUUUCCUAAGGGGUUGACCGAAGUUGACAUAGGUUUCCUACGUAUCCCUUUCUUAGGAAUUCAGGUCAAACGUUGUUCGUACAUAAAAGGAAAGGGAUUCUAGGUAAUUACGCAUCGUAAAACAAAUAUUAUCAUAAAGGCAAUUACAAAUAAGCCAAGGAAACAAAAACUAAAAUAUCUUUCAAACAUAGUAUCUCUUUACCGCAUCAGAAUUGAUUGGUUUAGUCCACUCUUGCCCAUCCAUCUAAGGUAGGAUUAGGGCUCCUCCAGGUUGGGCUUCUUUCAGUUUUCAAAUUCCUCUAUAUCUUUCAUUAACUGCUCCUCAUCACCUUUUUUCCAUUCAUCAUCAUUCUCUUUGCUUUGUUUAUCUAUCCUUUUUCAUGACAUAACAUUGGCAGAUUUUUAAAUUAUUGCUACCAAAAUAAACCAUGUUAGAUUAUAACAAGAUAAUAAAAGAUGAUAAUAUAAUCAUAUUUAAAAAUAACUUCUUAAAUAAAGGUAGGCCUUUUGGAAAAUAAAUAAAAACUCUGGCUCAUGACCCGCGUAAAUGUGGGCCCAUGCCUUUUUGAAAUCUGUAAAACACAAAAUGAAAAUUUGAGACAUAAAAGGGUGGAUCACGGGGCCUCCUCCGGAUCAUCACCAAUUUUUAAAACUAUUAGUAAUUGCCAUUUCAUCUACUACGACAGGCAACGAAUUAGGAGCAGAGUGGAAGUCCACUUUUGCAAAGCCUCUUCUGGUGCAACCUUCUUUACCCCACUGGACUUCGGAAAAUCUUCUAGUAUAGCAUUGUAUCCCUCAAAUAGAUUUGCUAUCCCAUCCCUAAGACCAUCAUCAUUUGACAUCUCACGCACGGGAAAUGAUUGGUGCAGGAGUGAUGACGGUAUGGAUAGACUCAUCUUUGAAUUAUAUUCAAUCUCAUCUUCCUUUCUUGGUUGGUACACUAUUCCACGCUUAAAUACUUUUUUCGAGAUCAUAAUGGACUCAAUAAUUCCUUACAAAUUCUUACUCAAGGCGGCCACAAACUUUCUCUAUCUUUUCCACCCCUUUCUUUUUGGAAUUUUGAAAUUUCACUUUAGUAAUAGUCUUGUCGGAUACCCAUUCACCUGUUAUUUAGGUCAUGCUAACCGUGGUUCCCUCAUGAUUGGGCAAUGGAUUACUGGUGACAUUUGGUUUUGGCGCUUAAAGAGUGAUGAUCUUCUGGUCAUUCAAGUCUUGGAUCUUGUGUUUCAGAUUGAUGCAAUCUUCAGUAUUAUGCCCAGGCGCUCUUGAAUGAUAAGCACAAAAUUGAUCAGCCUGAAAGAAUUGGAAAUUUAAAUUGACAGGCUUUGGUGGGUAGGUUGUAAGUAACCAACUUUCAUCAAUCUUCCAAAGAGUUAGGUACGAAUUUCAACUAAUAAAGUGAAUUUUCUAGGAGGCUUCUUUUUUAGGCUUAUACAUGGGGGGUUAUACUGAUUUUUAUUAGCAGGAGGAGGUACCUGAUGAUAGUUUGGAGGUGCUUGGAUGUUUAUUUGGUUGUUUGGAAGAGUAGCUUGAACAUGAGACUGAUAAUUUGGUUGCAAAACUUGACACUGGGUAAAAUAUUUAGAAGUGGAGCUUGAUAUUGGGGUUGGGCGUAGAAUACAUGCUGAAAACUUAGUGAUGGUGGUGAGGAAAGAAUAUUCCUAGGCUUGAAUUUUAUCUUUAAUUUAUCAACGGAAUUAGUAGAGACCGCAGUGACAUCCUCUCUUUUCUUCUUUAGAAAUAUGGAAGACCUAGAUGAUGUUGGGGUUUUGACAAUCUUUCCUGUCCGAAUGCCUUCAUCUAGCGAUUCUCUGAUUUUUACCAAAUCUAUGAAAGUUUCUCAUACUGCGGAUACCAUCCUGGUAUAAAAUUCUCCCUAAUGUGUGCGAGAGAAAACCGAUACCAUUUCUUUCUAGUAAAUGGGAGGUUGUACUUUAGCAGCUUCCUUUUUCCAAUGAAAGGCAUAGUCUUAAAACACUUGUCAUUCUUCUGCUUGAUCCGGUCUAAUGAGUAUCGGUCAGGGACUAUUUCGAUGUUAAAUGCAAACGUAUCAAGGAAACCUUUAGCCAAUGCCCUCCAACUAGUCUAUCUUUAUAGUUCUUGUGACAUAAACCAAUCUAAGGCUUCGCCGCUUAAGCUCCAGCUGAACAGACGCACCAAUAAUGUCUCAUUUUUUCCUACCCCCACCAUUUGAUCACAAUACCUUCUCAGAUAGGCCGUUGAAUUUCCAAUACUACCGAACACUUCAAAUUUAGGGACCUUGUAUCCUUCUGGUAGAUCUACUCCAGGGUGAACACAUAGAUCAUUGUAACCUAGGCCAUCAUUUUCCUUCGUCCCAUGAGAUUCCUUGAUCCUUAUAAUAUCUUCAUUCAGAACUAAUAAAUUUAUUUCAUGCUCGGUCCUUCACUCUUUCUUAUUCUCCUCGUAAUGGUUUAUCUCGAGAUUAGAAAGGAAAUUGUAGAUGUCAGGGGCUAUGAUGACGUGCAGAGGAUUUGGAAAGGUAGCUUGAUUUUGAGGAUGAAAGGAAGUUUGUUUGUAGGUGGGGAGGACGUUUUGGAAAUUGGAAAAGUUUUGUGGAAUUUGAGAGUAGUUUGGUGGGAUCUGAGAGGGAUUUUGCGGAUUUGAAAAUGAAUUUUAUGGAUUCGGAGAUAGAUUUGGCAGAAGGUAGAUUUGGGAUAGAUUUUGUAGAUUUGGGAGCUAAUUUUAUGGAUUUGGAAGCGGGUUUUGUGGGUUUGAAAAUGGGUUCUUGAGAUUUGGGAAUGAAUUUUGUGGAUGGUAAGCAUAUAGGUUAUUUUCUCAAUUAGUGUUUUAGACUAAUUGAGGAUCGGAUAUAGAUGAUAUGUUAUUUGGAUGGUCCCAGAGAAUAGGAAUACUGAGGGGAGGGAUUUGAAGUGGAAUCCUGUGUCCUUUUGGACAGAGAGCAUUGAUAGUGAUGGCCAGAUUAGCUAAAUCUCGAGUAUGGUUCAUCUCCUCCUAAAGCAUUUUCAAUUUUCUCGCAAGUUCAACAAUCAUCUCGCUUUAUUCCGCUAUCAUAUUAUGCCUGAUGGCAAAUGCACUUUCCUCAUCACUUACAGUUAUGUUUGAAUGAUGGUUAGGGGAUGAGAUCUUAUGUGCUUUUGACAGGGUGAAAUUAGGAUGUUCUGCCAGGUUAUUUCAAUACGGAGUAGUUUUUGAUUAUCUGUAAAGUAAAAUAACUCAAAGCCAGAUGUGUUAGUUUCCGUAUAUGAUAAGUAAUGCAAGAUACUUUGGCAAGAAGUAACCACGUAGAGUUGUUUGCGUCAUAGUCAAAUUGAUUUAUAGAAUCAUAGUGAAUAAAUUUGUCUUUGAUUCAAACAAACGCACAUAAACACAUAAGACAGUUAUAUCGCGUUAAAACAUUAUAAUAACACGUAUCCUAACUGGGGUGACCCUUUUGAACCAAGAGUUUAGGUCUAACGAAUUUUGAAGAAAAUAUACGUCUUUUUAAAGCCAAUCCAUUAUCCCCCAAUUUCACAGAUAUACAUAAAUGCCUACAAAAGUUGCACAAAAGGGAUACAACCUUUAGGGAUAUAGAAAUAACAUGAGAAAAAGAAUGUUGUCCCGCGUAGGGGAUAAAAAAUACUAAUUCCUGAAUGCUUGUUCUAUCGGCCUUCACCUUCUUAGCUUUGUCCACUUCUUGUCAUUGGCGACAUCCAUUGGCGAUCAAGCAAUUUUUGAAUAGCUGUACCUUAGAUGUAACCACCCAAAUCGAUCAAUUUCUUGCUUGACUUGCUUUAAUUGCUGUGUGAUUGAGGCAUCCUUACACGAAAGUAAGCAAAGAAAGCCUUCUCCCGACCCCAAAAGGAUAAUGGAUUGGAUUAAAUAAACAUAUAUUUCUUCAACACAUAACAUGAUUCGUCUGUCAUUGACUCGGGGUCAAUAGAUGCAGGACAAGUUUUCUAAUUGGCCCAAUACCCUGGGUCUUCCUAGGUUUAUGCCUAAAAGAGGGUUUUGGUUUAUAUCUAUCCUAAGUGUCUAGAGUGAGUAUGGACAGCUUCACAAGCGGACAACUUGAGUUUGGAAACACGAACAGCCUCCGACCGCCUAACAUGUCGGUAAACUGCCGUGUUUCUAAUAUUUUAUUUGGAAUUAAAUAAUAGGGGAUGGGAUAUCCAUGAAACCCCAAAAUAAUAUAAUAAUCAAUGCAGGAACAUUCCAUGAAAUGCAAUAAUUAAAUACCAUAAAAAUCGAAACACAUAAGCAUUUUAAACAAUUAGUCGAAUGAUGAAAUCAAACAUUUGGUUAGAACCUAGUAACAUAUCACCACCAGAGUUGCCAUUUUUGUUUUGCAGAAAUUUUGACUUUCAGAGUCGCAACUUAAUUUUGAAAAGGAAUUACGAAACCUUUAUAAAUUACUUUAAACGAUCCAAAAUAGAAAAAUUAUUUAAAUUUGAAGAUUCUGAGUAAGCGGUUCCUAUUAAUAUUUUAGGAAGGUUUUAGGAACCUAAAAUGUACGCUAACUUGCAGUUAUCCAAACUGUUUGAAAACAUCUUUUGACUAACUACAAAAAAAGAUCGUUUCAUUAAAAAAAACGUGAUUGGUUUUAGAGAAAGACUUGAUGUUUAUGCAAAAUCAGCGUUUUAGCGACUUAGUUAGGGGACUUUCUUUAACUAAGUCUAAGCAAAUAAAAUAGCAGAUAACACAUAAAAAAGGAGAGGGGUAAGAAAGUAAGAGAUUUAGACCAUUAGACCCAAAACAACGAACCAUGUCCUCUCUAAUUGGGCUUUCGACCCAUUUCACCUAUCCUAAUCUAGAUUUCGAGCGUUUGACUCUAGUUUUGCUCUACCUGUAUUAAAUUUACAACUUUGGCAUUUGUGGUCUGAAUGAAUGAAUAAAUAAAUAAAGACAACAAUAAGAAAAUAAUAAUAAUAAUAAUAAAUGAGACUUUUGAGUCUCUUCGCUGCUUCAAAUAUGGGACUUCAAUCCAUUUCUUCUUCUUUCGACUCCUUGCAUUUACAUUCCACGUAACUCAUUUUGGACUUUCUUUCGGGGCUUGACUCNNNNNNNNNNNNNNNNNNNNNNNNNNNCAUGCAAAGGAAAAAUGAAAAAAAAAAAUUAAUACUCAUUCAACCAAUCACACUGAGAUAUAAAUUAUUGACAAAUUUGGAAGCGAAACACAUACUAACCAAGGAGAUUCUUAAAUUAAAAGGAAAUGAGUCAAUAUUAAUUCGAAAUUGGCUACUCAAACUAGCUAUUAAACACUAAAAACAACUAAUGAAAAAAGAAAGACAUGCAUAACUUGGGAUUUGCUCCCACUUAAAUCAUUUUUUUAAAAUAGUAAAUCAGAAAGUCAAAAUCUUUUUAUUGUGGUUCAAAGCGUUGAAAUUGUUAGAACAUAAUCCCCAUUUAGAGUUGUUUCCGAAAGACCCAAUUCAUUCAAUCAUCAAGGAGGCUAAACUAGUUAUCAAGGCCUAUUAUUUACACUAGGAGAUUAGGCAUCCUUUUUAAAGAACUCAAACAAAAUAGGGAACUAACCGAACAAACAAAAUGACUAAAGGGAAAUGUAAGAAUGUAGCCAUGGUUUGUUCGAUAAAAUUAGAAAGACCCGCAAAAUACUAUUAAGACUCAUUAUCUACACAAUGAUUCAACCUCCAGCUUAACCAUUUUCUUUAAAAAGAAGGAAUACAUGGAGGAAAAUAGGAGAAAGAGUAAACUGGGAAUACAUAAAGCAGAUAAAGAAAAUAAUUUGGAAAUGGCAACAAUUUGAAUGAAAUCAAAACAGAAAACAAAAUUCCCAACGAUGUAUUCCACCUAAACAAAGAACGGGAAUAUCGACACUUCUCCUUACUCUAUAUUCUCUUAAAUAAGAACAUGAUCAACAAGCAAAAAUCAUAUGUAUACCACAACACAGAAUUUCUCGAAAGAAAUGGCCAGCUAAACUACUCAGCAGGAUGAUAAUCAAUUAGGAAAACAAAAAAUACUAGCAAACCACCAAAUAAGACAAUUAAGCUUUUUGCAAAACAAUGUUCAUUGGGACCUUAACAUCGCUCAUCACAAAAACAUCAAAUUCUAAUUAUUUUUCCAAAAUCUCAUACAAAAUACCAAACUUGAGAAAAAGAUUUUUACAGGCUCUCAUUUUUCAGGUGGAAGCAGAAAGUGCAUCGGGGCUUAUUACAAAUUCUUUUUGCAUAAGAGGAAGGGUCAAACAAAAGUACCUACUAUAACUUUCAAGUAUAAACAAUCAAGUUUAAACCUAGUGGGUACCUUGUAGUAGAAUCUUGUCCUUUUUACCAAUCAUUUACAGAAAUAAAAUGACUCAGUAACCCUUUUUUAAAAUAGGAUAUUAGCAAAAUUUUUAGGCCAACAGCUCAUCAUACAAGCAAAACAACAUACACAAAGCCGAAUUCAAAGGAAAUUUUCAUCAAACAUCAUAUAAACAAGAGACAAGUGUGUUCCCAGGUGAAUUAUAUAAAAAAAUCAGAAGUUUCAAAAAUUGGAGUGUCCUAAAUGCAAAAACAACAAAAAGUCUAAAAGCUCACAAUUUAUCAUGUGAAACCUAGGGUUUUCAUAGACUCCACAACGAGCAACUCUCACCACUCAAGAUUAUAAAACUACAACUACGAACAAGGCAACAAGAGGAUUAAAAUUGUUAAGUGAGAAUCAAAAUAUGAUCUCUAACCAUGAACCAGUAAUUCAAACCUUAGACAGUCCACAAGAUGAUAUAUUAGGUCAAAAAUUAAUCAGUAAUGUCAAGAGUAGAUAACUAAUUACGAAAUCGAGAUAUAAAGACGACGAAAACCAUAUGUCAUACCAUUAGCAUAGGAAUUCAUCCUAAUGUAGCACUACAACCAACACUGUCUUUCACUAAAAUGGCAACCUAUGGUCUUGAAGACCUCUACAACAGACAACCCGACACACAAGUUCUUCGAAAUAAUAGUUAUGACUAUAGAAUGAAGAGAUGGAGUAGAAUACAAUAGAAAUUAAAGAAAAAUAGAAUGUUACCUAUGGGAGUACCAAAACAGAACCUCGAGCAAACGUCGGACUCGCAACCACCGAAAAAUGUCUUCACCAUUAACUCGAAGCUCUAAUUUAGCCGACAAACUUGUGAAAAAGCAAAAUUUCUACUAAAGAUUGGUUUUUCUCUAAGAGUUUCUUUCUUUUUCUUUUUCUCCCUUAGUUUUUUCUGAACCAAAAUCUUCAACCCUUAAGAAGCUUCACUGUGGGCUCUUAUAUAGAGGACCCCUUGAUUAAGACCAAAUUUUGAGGGUAAAAAAUGGGAUAUUUUUGAAAUGCAAAAUUCCCAUCCCCCUCUGUGGUUUUCAUCCCUAAAUUUAUACAAAUUUUUGAAUUUUCCUUAAAUAAUUCAGGAUGUGUGGACCAAUAAAAAUUGAGGAAAACCAAAUCCUUUCUCCGACCAAUAAAAAUCGCCUAAAUAUGUACUAAAUCGUACCAUUAUCUCCAGAUUUAUGGGUUAGCCAUUGGGGGAUGACACCUAGGCUCGUUGUAGAAUGUUCUUGAGUCCUCUUUGUAUGAAUUUGCGUAGGACGUGUGAAGAAGGCUACAAAUGGGUUGGUUGCGGGUCGCUGUUGGUUUGGAUGGGUUGGAUUUUGGGAUCUCAAGUUGGGUUUUCGAUGUUGGUCGCUGGGUUGUUGUCGUGAUUUGGUAGAUGUGUGUGUAUCUUUUGUUUUGUUGUUGAUAUUGUUUUUUUGGAAGGGGAAGAAGGGGUAUUAGAACGAGCUGGGUCAGCUGAUUUGUUUAGGAUUGUUGUUUGAUAUUAUUUAAUUAGGGGAAAA